GACGGGGCCCGGCACAAGCGGUGGAGCAUGUGGUUUAAUUCGAUGAUACGCGAGGAACCUUACCUGGGCUCAAAUGUAUGUUGACGUAUUCUGAAAGGGAUACUUCUUCGGACAAUAUACAAGGUGCUGCAUGGUUGUCGUCAGCUCGUGCCGUGAGGUGUCGGGUUAAGUCCCAUAACGAGCGCAACCCCUAUCAUUAGUUGCCAUCAGGUCAAGCUGGGGACUCUAAUGAAACUGCCUACGCAAGUAGUGAGGAAGGUGGGGAUGACGUCAAAUCAGCACGGCCCUUACGUCCAGGGCUACACACGUGCUACAAUGGCCGGUACAAAGGGCAGCUACCUGGUGACAGGAUGCUAAUCUCAAAAGCCGGUCUCAGUUCGGAUCGGAGUCUGCAACUCGACUGCAUGAAGUUGGAAUCGCUAGUAAUCGCAGAUCAGCCAAGCCGCGGUGAAUACGUUCCCGGGCCUU
rnacentral:rRNA from 1 species